rnacentral:lncRNA from 1 species
AAACCUUCACACUGUGUUUGGUUCGCCGUAUUACCCAAUCCAUUACGCCCCGAUUACGUGCGUAUUACAUUACGCCCCUAUUCCGGCGUUUGGUUCGCUGUAAUAGGUAUUACGCGCGUAAUCGGUUACGCCCCUAAUCCCCAAAUUCCCGUGUUUUCCAAUCCCUUCCCAAAUCGCUGUAUUAGCUAUUACUUCCGGCCUCCCUCCCCAUCUCUCUGUUUUACCCUCCCUCCCUACCCGACCCUCUCCUCUUCCGU